AGCUGCACCUACAUCAGUCGCGUAUUUCCCGAGCGAGCUGCUGCGCGAUGCACUAAAUUAAUUUUCUCAGACGGUUAAUCAAAUAACGAGAGAUGUGCAGUAAUAUAAUGUGUAUACGCACUCGGAGCCGGGACGCUAGGUGCGCGCUAUGGACGAUAAAUUGAUUUCCACCUGACUCCUCUGUUAUUUCGUCGUUCCGGCAAACAGGCUCGUUAACAAAGUUAUACUUUGACGCGACGCGGCAAACGACUUUUCGGUGGGAGAAACUUUCGUUGAAAACGUUUAGUCUAGGCGCCGAGCACUUUUCGUCGGACUUGAAUGGCCAGUAGAUCACCAAGGCUAUUUCUAUGUAUUUUUGCCUCCUGAACACGAAUUUCGAGACUGCAGGAAUGCCCAAAAGUGGUCAGUUUUGAUAAAUCGGAGUCGCUGAUGCCAAUAGUACAUCAAAAUCAAGAGGAAAGCUUGAAUACAAUGCUGCGUGGAGCAGUACACUGUAUAAAGUGAAGUACGUUUAUUUUGUACAUAAAUUCAUGUGUUAAUAUCACGCGUUGCACGCACCGAAUGCAUUCGAUAAUAGGAAACAGGUAUACUGACGGCUAGAUAUGUUCUUAUGGCUAUUCAUAUGUGUUUGAGCAUUUUCUCGCACGGAAAAUGCGCAAUGAUUCCGUUAAAAAAUAAAAAAUUCUGCGAAUAUCUAAA